UACAGAGGUCCCGAGCGUUGUUCGGAUUCACUGGGCGUAAAGGGUGCGUAGGCGGGUCUUUAAGUCAGGGGUGAAAUCCUGGAGCUCAACUCCAGAACUGCCUUUGAUACUGAAGAUCUUGAGUUCGGGAGAGGUGAGUGGAACUGCGAGUGUAGAGGUGAAAUUCGUAGAUAUUCGCAAGAACACCAGUGGCGAAGGCGGCUCACUGGCCCGAUACUGACGCUGAGGCACGAAAGCGUGGGGAGCAAACAGG
rnacentral:rRNA from 1 species